rnacentral:rRNA from 1 species
UACGUAGGGUGCGAGCGUUGUCCGGAAUUACUGGGCGUAAAGAGCUCGUAGGUGGUUUGUCGCGUUGUUCGUGAAAACUCACAGCUCAACUGUGGGCGUGCGGGCGAUACGGGCAGACUAGAGUACUGCAGGGGAGACUGGAAUUCCUGGUGUAGCGGUGAAAUGCGCAGAUAUCAGGAGGAACACCGGUGGCGAAGGCGGUUCUCUGGGCCUUACCUGACGCUGAGGAGCGAAAGCGUGGGGAGCAAACAGG